rnacentral:rRNA from 1 species
ACACAGGGAUUGCCCUAGUAACGGCGAGUGAAGCGGCAACAGCUCAAAUUUGAAAUCUGGCCUCGGCCCGAGUUGUAAUUUGCAGAGGAUGCUUUUGGCGCGGUGCCUUCCGAGUUCCCUGGAACGGGACGCCAUAGAGGGUGAGAGCCCCGUAUGGUUGGACACCAAGCCUGUGUAAAGCUCCUUCAACGAGUCGAGUAGUUUGGGAAUGCUGCUCAAAAUGGGAGGUAAAUCUCUUCUAAAGCUAAAUACCGGCCAGAGACCGAUAGCGCACAAGUAGAGUGAUCGAAAGAUGAAAAGCACCUUGAAAAGGGGGUUAAACAGUACGUGAAAUUGUUGAAAGGGAAGCGCUUGUGACCAGACUUGCGCCGGGCGGCUCAUCCGGGGUUCUCCCCGGUGCACUCCGCCCGGCUCAGGCCAGCAUCGGUUUUCGUGGGGGGAUAAGACCGGUAGGAACGUAGCAGUCUCCGGGCUGUGUUAUAGCCUGCCGGACGAUACCCUCGCGGGGACCGAGGACCGCGCUUCGGCAAGGAUGCUGGCGUAAUGGUCAUCAGCGACCCGUCUUGAAACACGGACCAAGGAGUCGUCCAUUACAGCGAGCGUUUGGGUGUCAAACCCGCACGCGUAAUGAAAGUGAAAUUAGGUGAGAGCUUCGGCGCAUCAUCGACCGAUCCUGAUGUUCUCGGAUGGAUUUGAGUAAGAGUUGUAACGGACGGACCCGAAAGACAGUGAACUAUGCCUGAAUAGGGUGAAGCCAGAGGAAACUCUGGUGGAGGCUCGCAGCGGUUCUGACGUGCAAAUCGAUCGUCAAAUUUGGGCAUGGGGGCGAAAGACUAAUCGAAC